UCCCCCCUCCUUCUAGCGCCA
rnacentral:siRNA from 1 species